rnacentral:rRNA from 1 species
UAGCCUUGACAUUGAUUGAACACACUAGAGAUAGAGUGGUGCCCUUCGGGGAACAUGAAAACAGGUGCUGCACGGCUGUCGUCAGCUCGUGUCGUGAGAUGUUGGGUUAAGUCCCGCAACGAGCGCAACCCUCGUCCUUAGUUGCUAGCAGUUCGGCUGAGCACUCUAAGGAGACUGCCUUCGUAAGGAGGAGGAAGGUGAGGACGACGUCAAGUCAUCAUGGCCCUUAUGGCUAGGGCUACACACGUGCUACAAUGGGGCGUACAGAGUGUUGCGAUACCGCGAGGUGGAGCUAAUCACUUAAAGCGUCUCUCAGUUCGGAUUGGAGUCUGCAACUCGACUCCAUGAAGCUGGAAUCACUAGUAAUCGUAGAUCAGCAAUGCUACGGUGAAUACGUUCCCGGGUCU